GACGAACGCUGGCGGCGUGCUUAACACAUGCAAGUCGAACGGAAAGGCCCUGCUUUUGUGGGGUGCUCGAGUGGCGAACGGGUGAGUAACACGUGAGUAACCUGCCCUUGACUUUGGGAUAACUUCAGGAAACUGGGGCUAAUACCGGAUAGGAGCUCCUGCUGCAUGGUGGGGGUUGGAAAGUUUCGGCGGUUGGGGAUGGACUCGCGGCUUAUCAGCUUGUUGGUGGGGUAGUGGCUUACCAAGGCUUUGACGGGUAGCCGGCCUGAGAGGGUGACCGGCCACAUUGGGACUGAGAUACGGCCCAGACUCCUACGGGAGGCAGCAGGGGGGAAUAUGGCACAAUGGGCGGAAGCCUGAUGCAGCAACGCCGCGAGCGGGAUGACGGCCUUCGGGUUGUAAACCGCUUUCGCCGGUGACGAAGCGUGAGUGACGGUAAUGGGUAAAGAAGCACCGGCUAACUACGUG
rnacentral:rRNA from 1 species